rnacentral:rRNA from 1 species
AUGGCACUCGAUCUGGGAUCCAUGUUCCUAGACCUAGCUGCUGCGGCUGCUGCGUAUGGCCGCCUCGACGAGGACGACGCCCGCACCAAGCCUGGCAGCAAUCCAUCACAGGGUUCCCCGUCCCUGAACCCCCCUGCUCAUGGCUACCCCGACGGCGGCGGCGACCGGCCACCCUUCGUCUUCAUCGAACCAUACGCCUACUUUGCGGACCGCCACAACGCCACCACCGCCGGCUGCAGCAUGGAGGGUCUCCAUCUCCGGGGAGACAUCAAGAUCACCUUCUGCACUGCCCAGCCACCGCAAGUCUCCUACCUCUGCGCCCACGCCACCGCCUACGACCACACCGUGUUCGCCGUCCGGCCUUCCAUAGUCACCACACAGACUAACGGCGGCCUCGUCCUCCUAUGCGUCGUGGUCGGUGACCGGCCAUCCGAUGCCAUGUUUCGCCACAGACGACACUACUUCGUCUACGACGCCAGCGUCCCCUCGCUCAAGCACAUCAAGCAGCCCGGCGACGGCCACCCAGUCAACAAGCAGUCGUUUGCCAUUGUGCGCAAACCUGACCGCAGCUACGUCCUCGCCGCACAAGCCGGUGCGUUCGGAUGCCGCAAUCCUUCUGCUCACCUCUGCCUAUAUCACUCCGGCACCAACUCCUGGAGCAAACUGCAUGUCGAUUCAGUCCCCUACGGCGAGUUUAUCACAUACAAGGCAUUCACCAUCGGAGGAGAUAAAGGCACAGUGGCCUGGGUCGAUCUCUCACAUAUGAUCAUCUUCUGCAACGUGCUGGACAAACGUCCCAAGCUUCGUUUCCUCAGAAUACCGAUCGAGCCGACGAAUGCAGGUGGAUUGCCGGCUGUUCGGGACAUCUUGGUCCUUGAUGGCUUCAUCAAGAUGGUCGAGCUGCAGCACGUUGCCGGUGGUUGGAAGGCCACAAUAUGGAGCAUCAAGACUGGUGUCUUCUCUAAAAAGGCUUGGCGCGUCGAUUACCAGUUCGAUUCUUCUGAUAUACCUGAACCGUCGCUGCCUAAGCUGAAGCUCCCUGAAGGUGUCACGGCUCAGCCUACCUUGACGACUCUCCAUAUUGGCCUGCCCAAGCUGAGCCUGCCAGAUGAUGGAAUUCUUUACUUACUAGCCAAGAUUGACUACCGUGACAGACAGCACACAGCUUGGGUGCUUGCUGUUGACAUGAAGAACAAGACUGUCCAGAGAGUGGCCGAAUUUAGCCCCAAGAGGGCUAUUGGUUUAUGCAGGGGCUAUGAUUCAAGUACAAUCUCCAAAUAUCUCAAAGUUGCUUCAGGUACAAAAGCAAAUUAA